UUUUACCUACGGGGGGCAGCAGUGGGGAAUAUUGCACAAUGGGGGAAACCCUGAUGCAGCAACGCCGCGUGAGUGAAGAAGUAUCUCGGUAUGUAAAGCUCUAUCAGCAGGGAAGAAAAUGACGGUACCUGACUAAGAAGCCCCGGCUAACUACGUGCCAGCAGCCGCGGUAAUACGUAGGGGGCAAGCGUUAUCCGGAUUUACUGGGUGUAAAGGGAGCGUAGACGGUGUGGCAAGUCUGAAGUGAAAGCCCGGGGCUCAACCCCGGGACUGCAUUGGAAACUGUCUGGCUAGAGUGCAGGAGA
rnacentral:rRNA from 1 species